rnacentral:rRNA from 1 species
UGGGGAAUAUUGCACAAUGGGGGAAACCCUGAUGCAGCGAUGCCGCGUGAAUGAUGAAGGCUUUCGAGUCGUAAAGUUCUGUUCUUAGGGAAGAUAAUGACGGUACCUAAGAAGAAAGUCCCGGCUAAAUACGUG